UAGAAUGAGGCUUAUUGGAUUAGCAUUUAGCUGUUAACUAAAAAUUUGCGGGAUCGAGACCCGUCUUUCUAG
rnacentral:tRNA from 1 species